rnacentral:rRNA from 1 species
AACGAACGCUGGCGGCAGGCUUAACACAUGCAAGUCGAGCGCCCCGCAAGGGGAGCGGCAGACGGGUGAGUAACGCGUGGGAACGUACCCUUUGCUACGGAAUAGCUCCGGGAAACUGGAAUUAAUACCGUAUGUGCCCUACGGGGGAAAGAUUUAUCGGCAAAGGAUCGGCCCGCGUUGGAUUAGCUAGUUGGUGGGGUAAUGGCCUACCAAGGCGACGAUCCAUAGCUGGUCUGAGAGGAUGAUCAGCCACAUUGGGACUGAGACACGGCCCAAACUCCUACGGGAGGCAGCAGUGGGGAAUAUUGGACAAUGGGCGCAAGCUUGAUCCAGCCAUGCCGCGUGAGUGAUGAAGGCCUUAGGGUUGUAAAGCUCUUUCGCCAGGGACGAUAAUGACGGUACCUGGAUAAGAAGCCCCGGCUAACUUCGUGCCAGCCGCCGCCGUAAAAC